UACGAAGGUGGCUAGCGUUGUUCGGAUUUAUUGGGCGUAAAGGGUCCGCAGGCGGUUUGAUAAGUCAGGUGUGAAAUCCAACAGCUUAACUGUUGACACGCAUUUGAUACUGUCAGACUAGAGUAUGAGAGGGGUGAGAGGAAUUUCCAGUGUAGGGGUGAGAUCCGUAGAUAUUGGAAAGAACACCGGCCGCGAAGGCGUUUCACUGGCUCAUUACUGACGCUCAGGGACGAAAGCUAGGGGAGCAAACGGG
rnacentral:rRNA from 1 species